rfam:Paenibacillus sp. IHB B 3415 contig_056, whole genome shotgun sequence.
AUAAUGAUACUCCUGCCCGGCCAACGUAACUGUAUUGGGGGCAGCCUGCUCAGUUGAGGGGGAGUCUCUGAGAAAAUCAGAGCUGUGU